rnacentral:tRNA from 1 species
UCCGUAGCUCAGUGGUUAGAGCAUGGGACUUAUGUUCUUGAGGCUUCAGGUUCAAAUCCCGA